GGAAUUUUCCGCAAUGGGCGAAAGCCUGACGGAGCAAUACCGCGUGAGGGAGGAAGGCUCUUGGGUUGUAAACCUCUUUUCUCAGGGAAUAAGCAAGUGAAGGUACCUGAGGAAUCAGCAUCGGCUGACUCCGUGCCAGCAGCCGCGGUAAUACGGAGGAUGCAAGCGUUAUCCGGAAUGAUUGGGCGUAAAGCGUCCGUAGGUGGCUGUGUGUGUCUAUUGUUAAAGAGUUUGGCUCAACCAAAUAAGGGCGGUAGAAACUACACAGCUAGAGUGCGUUCGGGGCAGAGGGAAUUCCUGGUGUAGCGGUGAAAUGCGUAGAGAUCAGGAAGAACACCGGUGGCGAAAGCGCUCUGCUAGGCCGCGACUGACACUGAGGGACGAAAGCUAGGGGAGCGAAUGGGAUUAGAUACCCCAGUAGUC
rnacentral:rRNA from 1 species